CCUACGGGUGGCAGCAGUAGGGAAUUUUCGGCAAUGGGGGGAACCCUGACCGAGCAACGCCGCGUGAACGAAGAAGUUAUUCGUAAUGUAAAGUUCUUUUAACAGGGAAGAAAGAGAAAUUUGACGGUACCUGAAGAAUAAGCUCCGGCUAACUACGUGCCAGCAGCCGCGGUAAUACGUAGGGAGCGAGCGUUAUCCGGAAUUAUUGGGCGUAAAGGGUGCGUAGAUGGCAUAGUAAGUCUUUUGUAAAAAUGCUGGGCUCAACCCAGUAGGGCAAAAGAUACUGCAAAGCUAGAGUAUGACAUAGGCAAGUGGAACUACAUGUGUAGCGGUAAAAUGCGUAAAUAUAUGUAAGAACACCAGUGGCGAAGGCGGCUUGCUGGGUCGAUACUGACAUUGAGGCACGAAAGCGUGGGGAGCAAACAGGAUUAGAUACCCCUGUAGUC
rnacentral:rRNA from 1 species